CUUAGAUUCCGCACCACCUUGCUUCUCGCGCCGGCGUUCGCAGCUGAGAACAACCACGAACUCCUUUGCAAAGAUGCUGGCGCCCGCCUUUUAACCUUUAUAAACAGCUAUAUUCUGAAAUGGAAAAUAAAGAGCUAUGUCUUAUGAAUAUGUUUUUAACUGACAACCACUUUUGGAAAACAAUAUCAGAAAGAUAAAAAGAUGUCCUUCUCCCCACACCAGCAGCAGGAGGAGAUGCUCGUUCAAAAAAUAAGGCUUCUGAUUCCAGUCCUGAAUAUGGGAGGGGGAAGAGAAGAGGACAGGGAAAGAGAGAAGAAGCCACCGUCUAUGUCCCCUUCCCAAUUCAGUAUCCAGGCCUGAAGAAGAACCAAACUUUUGAAGAAAAGAUUUAACUUUGAAUGAAGUUGAGAUUUUUUUGUUAUUGCACUAAACAUUUUACUAAAAUCAGACUGUUCUUAUUAUUUAAAGGGACUGACUGGACCAUCUAGAUGAAAAUCAUGGUAGCUUUUAUUAUUUUCAUUAUUUUAAGUUGAAAAAGAGAAAACCCAAGAGAA